AACAUCAGCUAAUGGCUUUUGCAUCUCACUGAAAGGAGCAUUUCUUUAUGUAGAUCCUGCUUCUAUAGGAGUAUUGCAGCAGUCGAUGAGUGACCAAAUGGCAUUGACAACUUCAGAGAAGGGAGUUCUCUACUCUGAAAUGAGGAAGGACAUAGGAAAAAGAAAUGUGUAUGCCAAGGCUCAAAGUAGAUUGAGCUGCCCAGACUCUUAAGCCCAGACAAAAACAGAAUGGGUCUCAGCUGCAAGGGGCGAUGCUGGAAAGGUGGCUGAGUCUGAUUCCUGAAUGGCAAACAGAGAAUGCCCCAUGUCCACUUUGAGGUAUUGGAAAGAGUUGGGAUAGAAUGUCACCGAUCGUACCAGCAUUGUCUCCUUCCCCAUUCAAUGACCGGUCAAACUCCUCUGCAGACAGAUGACCUGUUAUCCUUCCCCAAGAUACACCAGCACCAUUUCCAUGAGUUGAUGGUGGCUGGCAAGAGCAGUUCACAGAAAUAGCUGAAGGAAACUCAGAUGUGCCUAUAUAACUUUAGUGUGGCAGGUUGGUAGCAUGGCUGCUCCUCAUUUAUAUUUAAUGAUUAUAACAUUAUGGUACUAUUUGUUUAUUUAAAGAUGAACUUCUGUGCUCAGUCAAACUUUAGACACAUUAUUUAAACAUAAGUCAAUUUGCCAAUCAUGUAUUUGUGGCUAUUUUCUUCCAUAAAUAGUUAAUAAUUAAAGAGAAAUGUUUGUAAACAAGAGCUUUUUCUCUCAACACUCAUCUCCUUCUCCUGCUCGUUCAUACUAAGAGGUCAUCACAAGCUACCCUGUAACUUUAGGAUCUUUCUGGCUUUGGAAAUGUAUAUA
rnacentral:lncRNA from 1 species